rnacentral:lncRNA from 13 species
GUUCCAUUUCUAAACACGCAUACUGCGCAUUAACGGAACGGAAUGCUAUCCAUGCGCGCAGUGCAUUGUCUGCUCACUCGAUGCGAGAAACGGAACGCACCCUAAGCUAGGUAUACUUCGGUAUACUCCGCCACACUCUCUGGACAUCAACAAGAUUGGAGUUUUGGUCACCGUAAAGAAAUAAUAAUAGGAUCCAAAUAACACUCAACACAAAGCAACUCUAAUAGUAGAAGGUUUAAUGGUAGAAUCGUCCCCGCCAUAUUGAAAUUGGGGACGGGUAUCAUAUUAUAAAAAGAAGAAGAAAAAGUGUUUGAUUCGUUAGGCAUAAAUAUAACCUAUACACAUGGAGAAGAAACAUAAUAGGAUGUUACAAAAAAACCUGUUUUUGUUGUGCUUGGGGAAAGUAAAACAAACAUCAUUUCUUGUAAUUAUAUUGAAUUGAGGAAUUCAAUGUUAUUAGUUAAAAUUACACUAUGUGACAGGAAUAUAUGUAUAGAAAAUUGUGUUGAAAA